CCUACGGGUGGCAGCAGGAGGGAAUAUUGCUCAAUGGGGGAAACCCGGAAGCAGCAACGCCGCGGGGAGGAUGAAGGUUUUCGGAUUGUAAACUCCUUUUGUUAGAGAAGAGAAUGACGGUAUCUAACGAAUAAGCACCGGCUAACGCCGUGCCAGCAGCCGCGGUAAUACGGAGGGUGCAAGCGUUAUUCGGAAUCACUGGGCGUAAAGAGCGCGUAGGCGGGAUAGCAAGUCAGAUGUGAAAUCCUAUGGCUUAACCAUAGAACUGCAUUUGAAACUGUUAUUCUAGAGUGUGGGAGAGGUAGGUGGAAUUCUUGGUGUAGUGGUGAAAUCCGUAGAGAUCAAGAGGAAUACUCAUUGCGAAGGCGACCUGCUAGAACAUAACUGACGCUGAUGCGCGAAAGCGUGGGGAGCAAACAGGAUUAGAUACCCUUGUAGUC
rnacentral:rRNA from 1 species